GGGAGGGGGGGCGCUGCCCCGCGCCUUUGUUCAGCGGGGAGAGGACCUGCGGCGGAGCUGAGCCGACCGCGCAGAUGGGCACGCACCCGGUAGCGCGGCUCCGCGCCCACGGGACGAGGAGGAGGAGGGAGGCAGAAGGUCCCCAUGCAGCCUCCCUCGGUCUCUUUUCUCCUUCCAAGGUCAAAACGUGGCUGUCUGGAGAACAGGAUGCUCACCAAAACAUCAGUCUUUGCUGGGUGCCAUACUUGUUAUCCUUCCAUUGGUGGAAUACAACUUGGGUGUCCUCAGGAGGUGGCUGACAUGGAUCAAACUGUACCACACAGUGAUGGUGUGAAGACCUGAUGUCUUCACUGCUCAGAAACAUGUGUAAAUUAAUAGGCUACUGGGAGAAGAUGAAGAAGCUUUUGCAGAAACAUGAGGAUAUUGUGGGAAAUACUGCUGUUAACCAUUUGGAUUAUAUUGCUGUCUGACACAGAGGUUCUGCAGAUAACGUAAGGAACUGUCCAGAUCUUUUCUUGUUACAUGAUUGCUGAAGCAUUUUCCUGGCACAGCAGUAAUGAUUGAUGAACACACUCCAGAUGCUUCUCAAACUUAAGUGAUUGAAAAGCUUUCCAGAUCUGAUAACUGAAAAGAUUUCAAGUGAAACUUCUGGCUCCUAUCCUGGUCUGAAAGCUCUUGAGUGAGUAAUGUAUUAGAAUGGUCUCCACUUCUCCAAGGGGAGCACAAGCUUGAAGUGGGGCAUGCUGUAAGUCACCUGACUUAAGGCAUCAGAGUGAAACUGGCAGAUUCAAAGCUUAACUGCUGCAUUAACUUUUGUCUUCUACUUUGAAGUCAGCUCAUUUUAAAUAGGAAAACAUGGUGCCUGCUUUGUCACCUGGGGUAUGAUCUAUGUCUGAUACUGAAGCUGUUUUGACUGGUGUGAGAAAUGCACGAAGCUGCACUGUUCAGAAGAAGCAAGAUUCCUUCCUCACAGCUACGGCGCUGCGACACAGCCUGCUUUUUCGCAUUUACCUGGGUGGCUGCUGCUGGUUCUGCUGCUGCCGCUGCAGCCUCGCUGCCUGCGCUUCACCCCAGCUUGGCUGAUGCGAGUCUCCCUCAUCUGUACAUCGCUAAGGAAGAGAAGCGAUGGAGCCGCAAUUUUUCUGUUGGUUCUGGAAGCAAAGGGUUGUGAUGUGGGGUGGCUUGGGGGGGUUUUCUUUUUUUAUGUUUUUUUGGUGGGGAAAGAAAGGAGGGAUAUUAAUAUAGGGUGGAGUGGGUAAAAGCUUAAAGAAAUAUGAUGAAAAGUAAUCCAGUCCUCAACAAGGGCAUCAGCAGCAAGAAUCCAGCCACUGCUGCUCCAAAGGAGGAUGGGGAAAGCCACAGAGCUGCAGUCGAGUUGCACCUCAGCGUUGUGCUGGAGAUGGAUAAACAAGGUAUUGGUUGUAUCUGCCUGCUAAGGCAAAGCCAUGGGAGGAAGAGAGAGCGAGAGAGUGUGUGCAAAUGCAGUGGAAGAAGAAACGCUGCAUGCUGUUUGUCUGAUUCUGUGCAUUCUCACUGUGGAGAGGAUGGCGUGAUUAAGAAAGAAAUGUAUGGAUGGAGGCACUGUGAAUUGUAGCUCCAGCACUCCUGAUGCUGUCAGGGAGGGAACUGAUGAGCUAGGUGGCUGCAGCAGUAUCCCCAGGGAAAACAGCGGCCAUGCUGUGUAUGUAUGUGCUUAUGUAUGUGUGCUUAUGUGUGUGGGAGCAUGUACAGGCAUGAAAGAAAGGCAUUUCUGACCAAUUUACUGAGGAAGCUUGUCACUUUGAUGGUCAGACUUGAUUGCAGCUUGUAUUUUCAGCUCUAGUUCUACACCCAAUUCCUGAGUGAGGCGGCACUUUGUGAAUGCAGAUGUAGGCAGAAUUCUUCUAAGAAAUGUGAAAGCAGAUUCUGUUUAACACCUUGGAGCACUGAAUCUAUUGCACUGUGUUGAGAGAAGCUAAGGAGGGAGGGGUCAUUUUCUCCAUCUUAAAAUCUUUAUAAACACGGCUAUAUUCAGUAUGGCAAAAAAAAAUUCUAUGCAAAAAAAAAUUCUAUGCUGUAAAUAGAAAUGUGAUCAAUCUAAUCAAAACAAAUGCAUCCCAGAUGACUUCUAGACCAGCUGGCUACCACAGUCAUCGGAUGGCUAAAUGCUCAACUGAGCAUUUAUAGUCAGCAUUAUAUCUCUUUUUUUUUCUUUUUUCUUUCUUUUUUUUUUUUUUUUUUUUUGAUUAAGAAUUUUAUAAUCAGCUUCUGAUUAAAAAUGAUUAUUCCUCUAUUGAAAAGAGACAGCAGUUAGCAACAGAUUUUUCUGAAAUGCACCUAUUUUUUUUUGUUUGUUUUUUUGUUAUUGUCAUUUGAUUGGCUUGGGCUCUUUUUGUUUAUCUGUUUGGUUUAUAUUUCUGCGCAUGCAUUGAGGAGACUGUGCUUUUAGAACAGGGACACUUGUCACAGUGCUUGGCAUACUGAGUUCAGCUGGUAGCUCGGGUUGCCCAUGUCUGAACAAUGCAAAAAUAGGGAAAACAAGUACUGCAGUCAGCUAGUAGGACUUGGCGUGGCUUUUAGCAGCUGCCUACUGAGAAAGAGGUUUCUUUUUUCCUUUUAUUUUUUUCCCUUUUAUACAAAUCCGUAGACCAUAAUGUCAUCCUAAAAUGCGUACGAGGGGAUUUCCCAAUAGUCAUGGUGAGCUACCCUGCAAGAUGCCUGUCUGGCCCUUCCACUGUUUGUUACCCUGUCUACAAAGGCUGCCCUGUGUGUUGGAUUAUAUUUAGCCAGCUGCUGGGUAACAUUCUUGUGCUGGGGGCAAAGGAGUCUUAUUACUCCCAUACUGUAGUUUUGUGCUUUCUUAAAGAAAAACAACCUUGGCAAGACAGCAGGCUCUGAAAAGAAGUGUAUACUGCUCCUGCACCUUUCUGAAACUGCCGUGCUUCUAACUCAGACUGUUUUAAAGCAAGCGAGCAGGAGGAAGAGUGGCUUUUAGCUCAUAGCUUCAAAGCUGCAAAAUGUCAGCACCUUGUAAUUAGGAACCCGUGGUUACGUCAGGGACUGUAUCUCUCCAAGAAUAGCUGUGUGAUAUGUGCCACAAAGCAAAGGAAGGCAGUCAUAACCUGGUUCUCGAGCCUGCUUUGAACAAGAGAGUGAAAUGGAUUAAUGAAUCGGCUGCAUUUGUAAAUCAGAGCUGGAUGGAUUACAUGUAUAAGACUGGCUGCACUCUGCAAAAGUGAAGACUGAAUUAUCGGUUUGUCAGAGGGCACAUGUUCGCUGAGUGGAAGUGUGAAUCCUUCGGAAGAAAUGCAGACAAGCCAUCUGUCCUAGAAAAUGUCAUUCCUGUCUCCAUCUUGCAAAGGAGGCUGUGUGCCACGAGGCAUGGGAAGGAGUGACCGGCCAGCCGCACCAAGGUGUUUAAAAGCACGCGUCAAAUUAAGCACAAAGCCAGCACACCAAAACUCGGCUCUGGCUUUGCAGAUUUGAUGUUGAAAUACCACCCCAGUGCAGACCUACUGCGAUCAGGUGUGGUUUUUAUUAAGGCUUCUCUGGCUGAGGAAUGGUGCAAAAAAAGCCUUAGCACAACAUCUUGCAGCCAAACGUGGUCCUGGGGGUGCACAGGGAAUGCUGCAGUGCGGGGCUGCCUAUUCCGCAGGGAUAUGCCUGGAGCUUUCUGACCCCUGCUGUUGUUUUUCGGUCUGGGCUGGCGGCUCCACAGCACUUAAGCGCUGAGAUUGCAGGGGUGCUUACCCUGCUUUGACCAGCCUUUCCCUGUGCUGUGACUGGAGAUGUUUACAUGGCUUUUAUCGACAGCCCUUCACCAGUCAGUGUGCAUUGCUGCCUGUUUCUGGCAGCCUGGCAUGGUUCCCUGGUCCCAGCACAAGUCAGCUGCAGUCCUGCUCUUUGUGCUGUUCUUUAGAUUACCAGGAUAGGUAGAUUGUAUUAUGGAAACACUGGUUGUGGGUUCUGUUUGUUGGGUUUUUUUUGUUUUUCUUUUUUUUUUUUUUUUACCCUGACCGUGAACACAAAUUUGUAGGAGGAGAUGACUCUGUAUAUUAAACCAAUAGCUCUUUGAAUUGUGUGUAGUAUAAUUUAAAUAUACUUACUUUAAUUAGUAGGAGCUUACAAAAGCCGGCAUUGUCUGGGGCUGUUUAAUUUACAUCGUGGCCUCUGUCAAUGAGCACAACUUGCCUGAACAGAUUGCCAUAUUCUGCGCAGCCGGCAGGGUGGAAGGCGUUACUUUGUUUGUGUUCCUUCCAACAGCUGGUCAUUAAUGCAGGCCCCAUCUCCAGAGUGAAGUGCUGGUGGACAUGAAUGGCCGCCUGAUUAAUGCUGCCCCUCGACGGCUCCUUCCUCCUGCAGUGAUGCUCGCAGCAGAAUAAUGCAGCGUGAUUUGAUUGCGCUCUAACAGGGCAGUAUGUCAUUGUGUCACCAAGCAAUUGAGGUUAUUAUGGGGCAGGGCAGACAGACGGGACAGUGGGGUUACUAGACCGUGGCAUUUUUAGAAAUGCAGGCCUGACCUACUUAGAGUUAUUCUUGCUGGCUGGCAGCUGCAUGGUGCAUGGCUUGUCCUGAUAGGCUGAGGCUGUUGCUAGGGGGAAUUAGCAUGAAUUUUUCCACAUACAGACUCUGUGAUUGAAUGAUAAAAGCUGACUGGAAUUAAAGAGAUUCGGUUCAGUAUUAUGCAGAUUUAUCUCCCUUGUUUUUUCCUCUCUCAAAUACAUAAAAAGGAGAAGACGACUGUUUCCAUUCAUUUUUGACCUAUAUAUAUAUAUAUAUUUUUUUUUUUAAUUUUAUUUUAUUUUUUCCAGAGGAGGGCAGAAGCACUGUGAAUUUUUGAUCAUUUACUAUUUAAGUCGUUGAAAUGAUAUGACAGUGGCCAUGCAUCUUUAAUGUAUAGGAGAUUCAAAUUCCUUCUCUGCAGAAGGCAAUGAAAUGAAUAUAGUUUAUACUCUGGUCAGACCAUCUUUUUUUUUUUUUUUUUUUUUUUUUUUUCUCUGUUUGAAGCUAUGUCAGAUUCUUUCAUCUGGAAAGGGGAAACGUACACCAGGUUUUAUUGCAUAACAUCACUUGGCUAUUUUUAGCUAUCUGCACUUCACAAAAUUAGUCUUGUGUUUGUGCUGCUGGAUGAAAUGAAUCCCCAGACUGUGCCUCCUGUAUGCAGAGACAUGCACCCAGGAUGUGCUGUAGUGUGCCGUGUUCAUCUGAAAAGAUGAGCACACACACUGCAGACAUAGCAGCUCUGCCUGCUGGCAGAGAGCUGACGACUGGCCUUUAAGCUGAUUGAUUAGAUAACCUUUUGCGCAUUUUGAAGCAUUUUUCUGCCUUUGGUUUGAAGUUGGAUUCUCUUGAUAGCCCUUUUUUAUUUAUCUACAUCUGCUUAAAUCAGUCGUUUUUUUUUUUCAGAGAAUUCUGUGUUCCCUCUGGAAGCAAAUAAAAACAAUACUCAGUGAAGACUUCUUUGAUGUAAUUAUGAAUAUUUCCUUUGUUAUUAUCGCUAAUUAUAAGAUAUCUUCAUCCAAACUGCAGUAUCCCCUGUGUGAUCCUUUACCAUGCAAAGGAGUUACAAUUUAGCACUUAUGAUUUUAAAACAGUUUUCAUGGCAACAUCUCCUGACAUCACACUCAAAAGAAUUGUGACUUUCCAGUAGCUGGGAAUGGGGGAGAGGGACUCUGAAGUCUUUGUAUUUGCCAAAUGAGUGUGUGACUCAUUGCUGAAAAGUGUGAGCUCAUUCAAGUUUCAUAUGAAAUACCUGGAUGAAUGAGACACUUCUCAGAGCAUUGUCUGUCUAGAUGGCCAGAAUUACCCCUGGAGUUUCCUGGCCCCCUGCCUCAGCCCAUGAAGUUUCUCUGGAGGGUUUCAUGGUGAAGCAGUUAAACAUGGAGACAUAUGUCUGAAUGCAUUUUGUACAGAUUUGAAUUUCUUGUGUCUCUUUUCCUGUUCAUCAUUUACUGCUGAAGCACAUAGCUUCACUGUCUCUUUCUUCCUGACAGCCUUGUGGAUUGACAGACUUGUAGAGGCAUGAAAGUGAAGACAGGCAUUAUUGGAAACCCACAGGUUGCUCCUCCUGGCUGUGUUCUUACCAUCUGUCCAGAUGUAACUCCAGAAAGUGUAACUGUGAUGCAGGUCCUGCUUCCCACAGCAGGAAUCACUCCUGCUAGUGUUCUCUUGAUCAAAGCCCUAUUUCUUGAUCUGCUUUCUUGUGGGAUGCAGUUGGUGGCUUUGGCUUUGCACCUGGGCUACCAUUUUCACUUUGGCGUGUCUUCCAAACAUCCCUUGAUGCUUUGUUUUCUGCUGUUUCCCCUCAUGCUCCCACUUGCAUUCACAGAAUCACAGAAUUGUAGGGGUUGGAAGGUAUCUCUAGAGAUCAUUGAGUCCAACCCCCCUGCCAAAGCAACUUCCCUACACUAGGUCGAAUUAAACAUGGUUUAUUCCAUGUGAUAAACCUCUUCUAGUGAUGAGAGAGGAUCAGGUCAUGGAGAGGUUUGCUUUUGGAAGGGUAAGCAAUGGCCAGGCUUUGUGUGCAAUUGUCUGUUUAAGUUUUCUCCCUCACUGGAUGUAGCCAGUCUUAGUUUCACCCAGUUGACUUGCAACAUCAGCUAACUUGUACUUCAGCAAAUCAAAACUACCGUACAAUAUUACAUUCAUUUCAGCGGAAACCUCUUUUUUAGAAAAAUGAACUGAGUGACAUCUUAUUUUGGGAUAUUCAUGCUUAGAAAGAGCCCAAAGGAAGGCAAGAAACAAUAUUAAGCAUGCACUCUAUGGAAAAGAAUUAUAUCCCUGAUAUUUGUUUGGGAUUUCAGCACAGUGAACAUUUAUAAUAGGCAUCGAGUCAGUCAGUUUUAACAAACUGUCAAGUGACAUAUUAAAUAUGAAAAAUGAAGUGCACCAGAAAUUGUACUCAAUAUUAGGUUGCUAUUCUGCAAGUCUCCUUAAUGGAAAUUAUUCCAAAUAAAUUAAUGUGUGAAUUGUCUGAUCAUAACGCCUGGGAUAAUUAUAAGUAGCAGAAAUAUGGAGUUAAUGAAACAGAAACAAAAUCUAGCUCUUUCUAUGUAUGUGUUUAUAAAGCAUAAGAAUCAGGGCACCAGAGGAGUUUGUAAUAUAUGUCUGUUGAAAAUGCAGUCGAUUGUGUACAUUCCUUUGAAAAACAUGUUAAGAAUUUUCUGAUUGUCUCCUCUGAGGUUUCUAUUGUUGUAACAACUCACACCUCCCACUCAGAAGUUGCUUACCUACAAAAGAUUGUUUUGCACUGUUCAGCAUUCUUGUACCAUGACCUCUCCUGUAAGCUGUGAAAGGUCUAUUGUGCUGCGUUUCAUGCUCUGGGGUGGCUAAGCAAGGGCUGAUUUACGAUUAGCAUAUGCAAACAAUUUUUUCUUCCAGUCAGGGAUGCAAAAUCUUGCCACUAUUUGAGUUGGCUGUGGUGGUCGGUGUAUUCCUCACCCAGGAGUCUUGGCUGAUUGUGCACAUUGUGCAUUUUGUGAUGUCAUUGCAGCUUUCUGGUUUUAUGGAAAGGAGCAGAGGAUGCAGGAUAUAGAGUGGCACCUCUAGUUUCCCAUGAAGGGAUAAUGGCAGCAAAGAGUGUGCUCACUCCCAGCCUUCACCUCCUGCCAGGACCACAAAGAUCAGUUUUUCUGCAGCAAAUUUGUUUUGGUUCCAAUUUCAAACCCAAAGUAGGAGGAAGUGUAUUAUAUUUCUUAAAAAGUGGCAUUUGGCACAUUCCUUCUACUGCAAUACAGGAGGGAAUACAAAUGUUUUACAAAUUAAAUUAAUCCUUACAAUAUUUUUUUUCCUGUGAUCCACUGAGAUGGAAACAAAUUCUGUAACAUUACCUUCAGCCAGGAGCAGCGUUAUUGUGUAUAUGAAUGUAAUCCCACAUUCAUAUUUUUUCUGCAUGUGUGUGCCUAUAUACUCGGAAAUAUUGUAUACAUAUUGUGUGUAUGUGUGUAUAAAAGAUACAGACAGUUUACACAAGAGCAGUACUGGAGCACACAUUAUAGUGUAUAAUCACAGUUGCCUCAGACUAAUACCAGAACUGUGCUUCCAGGUGUUUGAUGCUGGCUUAUUUAUGGUGAAUGCAUCUUGUCAUAAAAUUAGUGCCAUUUCAACACAGAGCAUAACUAUCACAUUAUUCUUGUCAUCCCAUUCACCACUAGCAGCAACAAAUGAUGCUGUGUAAUUGAAAGAUAACGAAAAGGGGGCAUUAUGGUGAAAAUUAGUGUAUAAUUAGAUAGAUGGAGUCUAUAACCACUUUUCACUUUUUGUAGUCACAAGUGAUGUAAAAUGAAAUGCUUGAUGGAUGUUUAAGACAGAGAGACAAAUUUUUUUCUUGUUGUUAAUUCUUCCCUCCUGCUGUUAGGUCACACCUGCUUUAAAAGUGAAUCCAGACUUAAAUCUUGACAGAGAUCAUGACCCUACUUCAACCAAUGGUUGUUUUAUCUUGGCAUUCAGUGAGACCAGGUAUCUGGUCUUCAUAUUUUCAGCUGGACAUGUCUUUUUCUCUCUUCUCACUCCAAAGUGUAGUAUUUCUGUUUUUAAGCUUUCUCUUUUCCUCCAAACAUUCUUUGAACACUUAAAUCUUUAAGCAAUGUACCAUAAAUUUGCCCUUGAGUAUGAGAAAACAGGAGGAUGUAGCACUUCCCUACUGAGUAGAUAAGGUUGAUUUGGGGUUAGUCUCCAUAGCUUUGUGUUUUCAUAUGCUUUUGUUUUCAUUAUAAAAUAUUUCUUGUUUAAUUGAAUUGACUGAAGGGAAGGAAAGGCAAGGGGAGGGGAGAGGAGGGAAAAGGGGAAGAGAAAGGGAAAAGGAAAAAAGAAUGAAACCAGGCUGUUACAGUCUGUGGAAACUUAGGGAAUAAGGUGGUUAUGUCUUGACCUACAGAUAUAGGGCCUAAAAUUGCAGAGACAGAAAAAAUAUGAUCUUUAAAAGGAAAGGCUUCCUAGCUCUCUCAUGACUUAUUCUGUUAUCAUCAUUGAAGUUAACAAUGGAUUCCUUUUUUUUUUUUUUUUAAACUUUGAUGUUACGUAAAUAAAACACACCCACAUCCAACAAAAAUAUUAAUUUGGAUGUAGGUAUGCCACAGGUGUGUCUAGAGUUUGCUGUGCUUUUGUUAUAAGCCUGACAGACACAGUAAUUAGGCCUUUCUGAGGUUAAAAAAAAAAAACUGGAUACCUCUGAGUUGAAAGCAUUUGAAAAAAUGGCAGCCAGUAGAUGACUGCUGGUGACAGAUUUUGUCCUAUGUAAUGCUACUCGGAGAACCCAGGCUGAACAGAGGAGGAAGCACUGUGCUGCAAACUUGGUUUGGUGGUGGUUGAAACAUGGCUGAUGAAUCUUUGUGUAAAUCUCCUGUUCAUGAUCUCUUAUAAUGGCAAUAUAUUAUGGCUCUCACUUACAGUUCCCACAUGCAUGCACAAGGAUACAUACAUACCAUUUCAGCUGAACUGAAUUGUAAGUGAAAUCAUCUGCAGCGGUGCACUGCUUUUCUUGUUACUCCUUUGAAACUCAAACCUGCAGUUGUUUGUAACUCACUGGUGAGACUACAAGUUCAUUGUCUCUCCAAAGACUGGUAAGGUUGUGUCCCUUUCCCUCUAGCUUUGCCAUAACUCCAUCCGUGUGAGCUUUAUAUACCCAUUAUUUUUGUGGGGGAGCAGAAAUUUUGGUGCAUAUCAGUGCCUUAUUUGCUCAACUACAGUCAUUACCUCUUAUUUGCAGUGAGUAUUUUCUGUUAACACCCAGUGAAUAGCACACUUCCCUUGCAAUUGGACUUGGAUUUCUUGGCAUUACACUUGUUAUUCCUAAUAUUUUUGAGGUACUGGAGAGACACUUGCAAAUAUCAGAUAAAUAAAUAGCCUCCCAUGGUGUCUCUGUUUCUAGUGUCAGCUCGUAUUUACUAUGUUAGCUGAACAUGACAACAACAUGGAAGAUAUGAAUACUAAGAGCUGUCUUCCAAAAUAUUUUCCCCUGUUUUAUGAGAAUAAUCUCAUUUCUUUAGAAGAAACAAGUAAAUGGCACACUGAGGGGACCAAGCAGGCAGGUGAUAUUUGAUUUCACAAAGCAGAUUCUCAUGUUAUGAUGCAUUUGCAAGGAGCAGGAUGGGAAAAUGAUGCUGUGCAGAACAACUUGCUUGCGUGUAUUCAAACAGAGUAGAUCAUCUGAAAUCUAAACCAAGUGAAAGCAGAGACUGGUGGACUGCUGGAGAGCUGUGCUAACCGGGGCAUGACACCUGCUUGUCUAGUUCUCCAGAGGGAUUUUUCAAAGUUUCAAAUGUUGCCAGCAGUCGGUUGCUUCCUUUGCUCAAUCAUAUUUACACUGUUUUCAUUUCACUGGAGUUUGUAAGGAAAGGUAAUAUCCUUUAUUCAAACCACUUCCUCCCUUGGUUUUUUGAUAGCCUUAGGCAGUCCUGGCUCCCUCAUAUUCUGUGAUUCUGUGAUAUUGUUGUUGACUCUAAUGGUAGUUCAGAGCAUGUAAAAUAAUCAGAAGCCAGACAGGAUUUUGGAGCAAUAGUGUUCCAUAAUUUAAGAUUUCUAUAUGGAUUGUUCAUUUCUAAUACAUAGAAAGUUGGAAGAAAUCUCAGGCAGUGAAUUUUUGGCUGUGCUCUAGUGCUGCAUAAUGAUGGAGACCAAUAAAUUCAGUUAUACUCUAGGUUUGUUGCAAUUGCUGGCUUGCAACACUGCAAAUCACAUCGGAAGGGAACAAGAGAGGAGGAAAAAAAAGAACAGUUUUCUCAGGGAGAAAAAUCACUUAUACUAAGUAUAUUGUCGUGUUUUGUUUCACCCUUAAUAAGUCAGCUUAAAGAUCCCUUGUUUGUUUAUGAUGCAUACCAGUGUUCACUGAUAUUUAUUUUAAUACCUUGUAUUACCAAACCUUCUUCUGUGCCUUGAACUUCAUGCUGUAGGCUGAAAAGUGGACUUAUGCAGCCAGAACACUGAACAUGUGCCUUCUGAAAAAUGUGUGUAUUUUAAGACGGUAUCCCUGCAUACUUUGACGAACUAAGCUUUGGGAGAAAACAGGAUCAUCUGGCACUAUUACAUGAAGAACUGGCAUGUUACUGAAGAGAAGUCAUUCCAUAAUGUGAUUGUUUUGUGGUUGUUUUUUUUUAAACUAUUUUGGUGUCUAUGGUUGCUUAGAUGAAUGAAACAAACUUUGGUGAAACAAACUGAACAUAGUUCAGUAAGAAAUGUCCCUGUGGAACAUAGACUUCCCACAAAAGCAUUUUAUUGUUUAAUUCACAGGGUGAAAGGAUAUGUUUGCUUUCAAAUAUAUUUGUCAUUUGUAAAGGUAUGGUUUGGGACAUAGAACUUGUUCUUUUGGUGAAAAGUGUGUUUAAUCUUUCACACAUUCAUUGUGUUUUAAGCCCCAAGGUCAGAAUUCAGAACUUGACAAUUCCUAUAAGAAUGAGAAACCGAUGAUAGAAGUGAAAUGUACUUUUGGGGCAGUUUUGCAGCCAUGUGCUUUAUUUUACAGACCAAGUAUGCAAUUCUGCUUCAACAAAUGCAGACAAAAGUCAUCGGAGCUUUUCUUUCUUCCCUUCUCCCCCCUUUCUUUCCCUUUUUUGAAUUUUUUCCUUUCUUUCUUCUUUUCCAGAAAUACUCCAAAUGAUGAUACCUGCAAGUAGCAUUCAAAAAAAGCUUCAUCACCCCAGUAUCAGUACACAACAUUCCUCUCUGCUCUCAAACCCCCUUUACUUGUAUUUUCCCAGAUUAUCUUUCUCUAUUGGUCUACAAUUAGAAAUAACAACAUCAUCAAAUAAACCACCACCAACAACAAAACCCCUCUGUUCAUUUAGUAGAUUCAGUUAUACACAGUCCCCGAGCAUCUGCACAGGCCUCAACAUCUUGGACUGUCACUCGUAUUGUGUGCUAAUGCUUUAAACACCUAGUUGCCCUUGUUUCUGAGCCAUAAAAACUUAAUGUAUGUGCCAGAUUCCAUGAAGCCUGUGAUUGUUUCUUGAAUCUAGAUGAUGCCCACACCUUCCUUACACCCGUUAGACUAUGCACCAUAUCCAUGUACACACAUACCUAUUCUUUAGAAAAGAUGGAGUGGCUUUUUGUCACUCCUUAAUCCUUUGUCAAAGGGUAGAAAAUACAGUGUUUUUCUUUGUGAGCUGGAUGGACAUCAGAGACUCUUCUCUUUCUUUGGGUCCCACAGCCUUGCUUUGAAAUAUUUUUAAAAAGAUGAAAAGGGUGUAGUUGUAGCUUUAAAACAAUGAACUUUGCACAUUACUGAAAUAAAUGGGUCUCGUUUUUAUUCUGGGGCCCAGGUUGAGAUAAUGCACAGAAGUUUAAAAAAAAAAAACAAAAACAAAAAUCUAUAUGUCUUCUAAUUUAUUGUCUCCUGACUUUUUUUUUCCUCCCUUUAAUUUAUUUUUGGAGUCUGAGAAGAAAAGCAUGCCAAAAAGGCCCAGUGUACUGAUGUGUGAAACUGAAGGAGUUGAUGAUUCUUAUGAUCCAGACACCAUGCCCUUUGAUAGGGUUAAUGUAAAAAGAAACAUACUGGAAAAAACACACUUAAAUAUGAAAAAUUCCUUAAAUUCAGGGUGUGUUCAUACACAGUGAAAUUUUUACAGUGUGGAAAGCAUUAAACCUGAUCCAGAAAAAACGUUAGGUGCCCCAACCAUUGAGAUGUGAAUCUCUUUAAUCCACGCAAGCAUUAGAAAAAUCUGAAACAUGUGAAAGUUCAAAAGCUGCAAAGCCAUUACAUGACUCCUUAUUCAUUUUUCAAAUAUUGUGACUUUCUAUUGAACUGUAAAAAGGCUGCUUCUUGUAUUUUUUUCCCUUUUCAUAAGCAAUAUAUCAGUCACUCACUCAUGUGUUAUUCCACAUUGUGAAGCUGAAAGGGAGUUUCGUUUGGUUGUGCCUACUUGGGUAUAAAUCUUUGAUUUAUUUCAAACGGUUUAUGUAGCAUUUCAGAAGUUGGUCACUUGCACCUUUUCAGCAUUUGCUGUUGGAAAAGGGGGAAAGGCAAGAAUUAGGAGAAUGUUGACGUUGUUUUUUAUUUAAGAUCUCUUAGGCUGUUUUUUUUUCUAGAUUUUUUUAGCCUGUUUGCUCAAGUGCAGUACUUGAGAUAGAUAGAGUUGCUGAGAGGCAAGCGAGAGAUUGCUGCUACAGUGCAGUGUCUAAAAAAUUGCUCUUUAUGUAGGGCAACAACCUUAAGGGAGAGCAGAAGGUUUCACGUUGGUUUGUCACCUGAAAAUAGGGCUUAUUUUUACCAGUGAAACUCCUGUGAGAAGAUCAUGUAAUGACACAGAGCCAUUGGAGCUGUUGUCUUUUUUUAAAUGAUAGCAACUGCAGAAUCUGGUGGAGACUUCUCAAGUCUCUACCCCACUCCUCCCCCCAUAAAUAAAUAAAUAAAUAAAUAAAUCUUAAAAAGCCAGAGAGGCCUGUUUUCUACAUGAAAAUAGCGGUCAUCCUGAAUUUCACUGACUUGCCAGAAGAUCUAUCAAAGAGUGGAGGUAGCUAAUUUCUGGGGCUCAUGAGAAGACUGCACUCUAAAGUGAUGGACAUCAUUGAGUCUAUAACCUAAGGAAAACAAAUGACUCAAACCUCUGCUGGGGCCCAAAGAGCUUAAAGGUAAAUAUGAGAUAAGGACUAGCUGUAGUCAUGCUAUCCUCUGCUGCCAAGGCAUUGCAGCAAAACAAAGGCUUAUUGAUCAAAAAAGGUCAUGGAAAAGAGGACAGGGCUUAAAGAAGAUUUUUUGUUUUUGCUUUAUUUAUUUAUUUAUUUAUUUAUUUACUUAUUUAUUUAUUAUGAAUACAAAAACAUUAACCCAAAGAUGGAGUUCUGUAUGGCAGGUAUUUCUCACAUACAUUCUUUUAUUAGUCUGCACAAAUAAAAUGACUAUCUAUAAUUCUCUUGUUUCAUAGAAUGACUUCUAGCCAUAGUCUCCAGAGUCUUGAAACAGCAGAUGUGUCCCUCUGUUUAAAAUGGAGAAUGUGACAACAGAAAAUGAAGUGCUUGGGCCUUCCACUUGAUGCUGUUGUGCUCCUCAUGUCUAGUAGGGAUGUGUAAGCCUGCUCACAUGUUGUGGUGGGCAGUGGCUACUGACCUUUUACUGUGGCAUAUAAACCUUCUCAAGGGUUUGAAACAAAUACAUGAUGUUGACUUCUUUUCCUUGGUGAAGAAGGCUUUUUGCUUAAAUGUCUGGUGAAGGUUGUAUGGGAAAGGGAGCAAUACUUGCUUUCCAGGAUCCACAAGCUGUCAACCUUUCAUAUCAUGAAAAAUAGAAAUAAAGGACCAAGUUAUAUUGCGAGACUGCUGGAAAAAAGAUUGUUAAACACAGAGAUCCUAAUGUCAUCUACUGACAACAGUCUGCUAAAUGAUGUUUAUGUUUUAAGGGCAAGCGGAAAAAGAACAUUCCCUUUGAAUGACAACUGCCCAUCUCAUAAUGUCAUAUUGCCAUUAUCUAUGAAUAAAGAAAAAGGCCUAUUAUGUUAUGUCUAACUAGAAAGAAACUUAACAAAGAAACACACUGUGUUGUUAAGGAGAGGAAGGAGAGCCUUGUGGUUAGGGCACAGGAGAUGUUGAUUCAAAUUUCUGGCUCUGCGAGAGCCUUCCUCUAUGACCUUGAGUGACUCAUGUACUGCCUCACUCUAAAAUGGCCACAGUACCCAGAGCAAGAGUGAUGUGGGUGCUGAGAUGGUAAAAAGACCGUCUGAAAAGCUGGCAUAAAAAUACGAGCUACAUGGCUCCUUUUUAUUUCUUUUCUUUCUCUCUGUCUCCCUUUCCCACCUUCCUCCUCCCCCCCUCCCCCCCCUCCCGCUUUUUUUUUUAAUUGUUGGGGUAAUGUGAAAUAUUAAUAAUUUAAUAUUAAUAAAAAUAAUAAACCCAGUAAUAUUUAAACUAGAUCUGUUUCUUACAGAAUGAGAAGACAGUUUGGGCCACAGUCAGAAUUUGAUCAAGACUUGGAAAUUAUGAGGUUCAGUCGUGUUGGUUAAACACAUCUCUACCCAGAAUAAGAUUACAGUCUGUGAUGAAGAAUGUUUUCAAUUAUACUCUGUUAGAAAAUAAUGUGAAAUUUAUCUUAAGUUGUCACGGUGCUUCAAAGGCAUGGGCUUUUCUCUUUCUAAGCCCUUAAACAAAUGCAGGAUGUGUUGAGGCAAAACUGUUUCCAAUUAAGUUGAUGCAUAAUGCUCUUUAAUGUUUCAGGACUAAAAGUUUUACUUAAAGACAAAUCCUUUAGCCUGAGUUCAGAAGGAUAAUUCAGAUAAAAUUUCCUGGAAAGCAGUCAUUUGCCUGAACUUGUGUGGCUGCAUGAUGUCGGGAGCUCACUUAGCACAGUGUGACACAUAGCUAUGAGUCUCAUCAGAACCAUGUUGAGAAAUGUAGGGAUCCAACUCUUACAUCUCUGCACUUUUAUUCUGUAUUGAAGAACCAACUUUAGCUCACUUGUUGAGUAAGGUUCGCUUAAAGUAGAUAGAGCAUUAAGAGAAAUAAAAGUGAUUCUAGGAAAUGCCUGUGCUGCUUGUAUUCAGUAUGAAUUUUUUACUACCUUAAGUGUGUUUUGUUCAGAAGAAUGAGUUUCUGAUGUUCCAAGGGUUGUUUUUUUUCUGCCCAGCUGAAGCAUCCCUGUUCAUCACUCAUCAUUCUGUGGAGUGUUAGCCUGAAAACUUAUGUCAAGCUGAAGAUUAACAAGGGAUUAAGAAACAUUCAGCUCCAACUCUAAGGCAGGGAUGACAAGUUUGAUCUAACAUAGCAAACAUAGAAUGGAUUCAGCAGCAAGACAACUUGGAUGGACUUCAUUUGGGUUCACUGAAUACUGAACAGCAACACUAUAAGGGGUUGGACUUCUGCUCCAAAAUUUCUGUUUUCCCUCUAGGCUUGCUGGGACAAAAAUAUGCUGCUCUUUGCAAGAAUUAGGAUGAAUCUCGGUGUAUAGCGCUUUUCUUUACAUGUUCUGUUUUUCUGUUGUAAAAAUCUUUUAAAAUACUGAAUGUAUAUUUUUAUUGUAUGAGGUCAUUUCUACAAUAGGUUCAUACUUUGAACUACCGGUUAGAAAACUUCUUAAAUAACUAUUAAUAAUGAAUCAGACAGAUUUAGAGUCAAGGGCCAAAUUCUUUUAUUUUGAACUUUGACUUUAUUGAUUAAAAAUCAUUUCAAUUUAAAAGAUCCCUGCAGGGAUCUUCACUUGUGGACUGUUUCUCAAGGCUUGAUUUGCAUAUCACUGAGACCUGUUUUCACUUGUUUUUCCCUCAGAUGAUAUCCUUGCAAUAUCUUUCUUCUCUACCUCCUGGCAAUUUUAUAGACUGCUCUUCUAUGGCAUGCUAAUAUCUUUGCCACAAGCCAAAAGAAUUUGCAUAAGACAGAAGAGGAUAAUCCUCGGUUAUAGUUUUGUUUUAUGAUCAAUAUGGUGAACAACCUCAGUUCUGAGCCUCAUACAGGUAAUAGAGCCAGCCAUGGUGAAGCAUGCAUGUAGUUUGCUCCAAAAGUAAUGCCUCCUGCUUGUUUCCAUGAAGACAACAACAUAUGUAAAUAAUGUAUAAGGCAAAGGUUUGCGGUUGAGUUAUUCCACAUGGAAAAAAUUCACCUGUUGACAUUCAUCAAUGCUUGCUGAAUGUUCAAGGAGACUAAGAAGUGAAUAUGAACACAGUGACAUGGUGGGUGGUGCAUUUCAACAGUAGUAACAGCAACAGUGGGUCACCAGUGCUGGUGCAGACUGUUAGGACCAUGGUGUGCAGUCUCUUGUUCAUCGUAGUAAAAAAGCAUAGCUCAUGGUGGUGAUUAUGUUGAAAAAUAGUGUUUUGUAGCCAAGAAUCUUCUCCAUCAUAUAAUGUUAUUGUGCUUUUCGUAUUCAUUGUAGUUUCCAUGCAAAUAAUUAGGAGGAAUUACUUUCAGAGCAAGUAGUAUACAUAAAGCAUCCCAUUUAAUUCAGUAGGAAUAUUGACAUAGGUAAGGAACGUAGGGCGAAGCUUAUGAUUCCUGUAGAAUUCUUCUUUAGCCAAACCAAAAUAUUAUUCUGUGUUUGUAUCAUGUUCAAUUAAAGUCUAGAAAUUAUUGUUUGUCUUUGAGAUGCCAUUCACAUGACUAUCUUUUCAUAACUGAUUUAUGAUCAUUUAUACUAUAUUCUCUCAGAACUGUGUUAUGCGAAAAGUAAUAUUUAGAUAGCCAAAUAUCUGACACAAAAAAAGUAUAUGACAAUCAAACACACAUGACUGAAAGUCCAAGAAAACACUUCUCUCAAGUUGCUCAUAUCUUUCUCUCUCCCUGUUUAUGUUGCUUUCCUUUCAGUAAAUACAACUGCAGAUCUUUGGCCUGUGCCACAUGUCAAAUAAGCAUAAGAACCUUCCCCUUGGAAUUCAGUUUUCAAAUUUCAGUGGAGCAGAUAUGUAAAUUUCAACACUUUCCCUAUGUAAUAUACACAUUUGAUCUGCCAGUAUGUGCAAGGGGUGAGUUGUACAUGCAAGAAACCAUUUAUGGUGAUGAAGAAAAUGAUAUAUGGAAAAGAAAAUACAUUUAAAGCAUGCACUGUGGCACGUACUGACUUUACCAGAGUAAUUGAAGGAAUUAAUAUUGAAUACCUGAUCGUAGGAGACAAAAAUACUGACGUCACUGAAAAAAAAAAUAAAAAAUGCAGAGAACAAAGGAUUUCCACAUUUUUUUCCCCUACUAAAUUUUGGCAGAUUCUGAUCAUCUUUUUCUGUGUGCUGUUUUUCUCAUACCCAAUGUGAUGACCGAAAACCUUGAAUGCAGAUUUCGUAUUGUUUUGCAGUUGCUGGGGAAAUUGUAAGAAGCUGGAGUUUAGAUUUGAAAGUAUGUAACUACUAAAUUUCCAUCUGAAUUAACAUAUAAUACCUUUUUUAAUUCUGUAUUUAUCACAGGAAAUAGUUUUUGCUUGAAGUAUAUACUUCUGGGAGUAUGUUAAUUGUCCUGUGCCAUAAUAUUGCUUCUGAAAGAAAUACGUCUUUAAAUAUUAGUGUUCAGUAGGACUGUUCUUAAUCUCUGCUAUUAUAAUAAAUACUGAAUGUCAGACUUUUUCAAAGAUCCAAAUUGGAAAUGUGCUUUUUAUCUCACUAAAAUGAGUGGAAGCUCCACAUGUCAUGUGCAUUUCAAAGUAAAGAACUGUUAUCCCAAAUAUGCAUUGCAAGGAUAAUUGGAAAGGAUUAAUUUACUUCAUGGGGAUUUGACGAAGAUGAAUGAUCUGUUGUGCUCCCAGGAAAUUGGGAAUUUGGAAUUCUUUACUUUCAGUAGUUGAGAAUUAUCUGUGUAGUUUCUAUGCUUGAGUAAUUUUAAGUGCAUCUGUUUUUGUAGUAAUACCAAACAAAAACUCAGAUUUUUCCUUUCUGAGGCUUAUUCACAUUACUACAGGUUUUUAAUAUGAAAAUUUGAAUAUUGAAAAUAUGUUUUCCCUUUGGUUUUAAAAUUUAUACAAUAUUAAUUCUUGCUAGUUUUAAAACAAAAUCAUGUAUGCAUUUAUGUUUUUAUAUGCAUAAGCACACCAAAGUUUAGGGCUUGAUGAAAGCUAGUCUCAGUAGAAUCAGUCUUUGUUAUAGUUGUUUUGGAUGUGUGCUGACUGAGGCAGAGAAAUACAAAUAGAGGAUUUUGUUUUUCAGCCCUAGUAGUUAAUCAAGUUCCUGUAACAGUUAUCUAACCCCAUGGUUUUCCCUACUUGCUUUGUCCUUGUUACUUCUACCCUUCUUAAGCAAGGCAAGUUUCUGCCUCAACAUUCUACCUUUGACCUAUCUGACCUUGACAAUUUCCUUUCUGCUGUACAUCAGGUCAGUAAUAACACUGAGCAAGCAAUCUGCUUUCUAGCAUAUUGCCAGCUGUACAGGAGCUGUUAUGAACUCCAUAGAAAAGCUAAGAUGUGGUGUAAUACUUACAUUCACCUGCAGUCAGCAAUUUUAUGGUGCUAUCUUGGAAAAGCAGAGGGGAUUGAGUGGAUGUGCCGUGAAAGAAUUGAUGGAAUGUCCACUUUAAAGCUGUCUUAAGAAGGAAGGAGCAUUCUGCAGAAAUCCAGUCCAGCAUAUGUGCUAACACAACAGCAUUUUGGUUUGCUCUACCUCCUAUGGGAAAGACUGCAGAGUUGUUACAGUUAAGCAGGCUGCUGUAGGCAUCUCUGGGCUAGUCUCCCCUCAACAAAGAGAUUGUCUAGAAUCAAGACCUCCAGAAGUUGUAUUUAUACAUAUAUAUACAUAUACAUAUACAUAUAUACAUACACACACACAUACAUAUACAUAUAUAUACAAGCGAUACCAAUUUUAUUAGUCAGUGAAAAAAACCACCAACAACCAACCUCAGCUAAUAAUGGCAGGUACUUAAGAGUGGCUAUAGAACUAUAAAUUAGCAUUAGGGAUACUUAAAGAUAGUUUUUUCAUCCACGAAACAUGAUAAACCAGUAGGCAAUUUAUGGUGAUAUAAAUAAUGAUAAUAUAAUCAGUGGGAAUAGACAUUUGAGACAUUUGAGACAAGAGCCAUGAUGCUUAAUGCUAUCAUCUAUAAUACAUUUGCUCUAUGUUUAGUAGUGCAGAUUAUAAUUGUUUUUAAAGAAUAUCUACUGUAGAUCUCCAUUUUGAAUGAGAAUGACAAAAAUAAUUAUCUUUUUACUCCUUUGAGCACUGGAGAAUCAGCCAUUAGUAUUGAGGAUGUACGAGUAACUAUGCAGAAAUAUUUUGUCAAUGCAAAGACUAUGUUCACUCACAAAAGUGGUUUCACAGAGGAUAAGAAAUGGCUCAGACCCCCGAGUCAGCAGCCAAAGUGCUUGUCAGAUACCCAGCGUUAGAGCACCAUCAGCAAAUCUGGCUAUUUGUUCAUUGGGCAGCUGACUACUACCUGCUAUUCACAGCUCAGGUUCCAUGUUACUUUGCUCCUGUGUCAGCUGCCAGUCUUCUCCAAGUGAUUCUACAAGAAAUUCCAUUUCUGCAUCUUGAAAGUAUCCAUGUUUGUUGAUACUGCGCAUGACUAAAAUGGUAUUUUCAUAUUUCAGUAGUUGAAGCCCUUUAAAGCAGAGGGCUGCAAGUGUGAAAAAGAGAUAUGUUGUUCCCUAAUGGCUUAUUACCAUCCCAUUUGCAAUUCAUAUCAGUUAUAAAUUGACUGAAAUUUUUAAACACAUAGCAGGCAGUUUAAACUAAUGAUUGUCUGGAGGUUCACAUCUGACAUGAACUAAGCUUCUGUUCAAAACAAAUUGCAAAUAAUUCCUCCCUUAGAGUCAAAAUGUCACUUUUUACACAGUGCAUUGUUGCCAGAUUGUGUCAGCUCCAUUAAAAUAAAACCAAAUAAAGAAAUAAAUAAAACCAUCUAGCUAUCCACUGAGUGUUCUGAAUAUAGGGCGACCCUGUUAUUAUCCCUUAUUUACAGAAACAGGGCUUUACAUUUACAGGGCUCUGCACAGACUGCAGAGAGUUCAUUUCUCCCUCAAAAGCCCCAGUUGUGGUGAAAGCCACGGGGGCCAGCAGAAGGCCUGGGCUGCCUAGCAAUCCCCAGCAGGCUGCCCGCUGCCCUCUAAGCUGGGAGUACCUGAGUUCUUGCUUCAUUCUUAAAUAUGCCUGCUCAAAUGCUGUAUGCUCAAAAGCUGUGUAUGGGUGGCUGCAGUGUGCUGAAGGGACUUCGAGCACUGUGUGGAUGAGGCACAACAGUCUCCCAGCCACAGACGUGGUAAAACAAGGUUAAUCCUUCGUUGUAUAUAGGCAACCGCUUGAAGAAACAAUUCAGAAUUUGGGUUCAAUUCCACCAGGAUUUUGAAGUCCACACCUUUCUUGAUGAUAGCAGGGGAAGCUAUUCAAAAGUACCCUAUGGGGUCACCAGGAAAUGUUUAAUGCGUGAUUGAAAUUGGAUUUCCCUUCAAAGAAUAAGCCAUCUGAGGGGGACUCACUGGAGAAAUCUUGAUGACUUGCAGCUGCUGAUUACUAAUUUUGAAUAGGGAAGUAUUUUGCUAAUUUCUAAAGGGAAUAAGCUUAUGUAGAGGGGAAAAAAAAAAAUAGGUCAGUUCCUUUUGAUCUAAUCCUUAUGUAUUUUUGCUUUCUAGGUGUUGGCCACAGGGAGUUGGUUUGGGACAGUCUUUUUUUUAUUUUUUCAUGCAGUGUUACUGGGUCAGCUAUCCUGGUUAGAUGUUACUUGAAAGUCUGUGUUACUUGACUGGUUGUCUCAGGCUCAGUAAAAAUAAGUGUUUUUUUUGUUUUUUUGCUUUCCCCCCCCCCCCC